CUGUACUACGAGAGGGUCACGGGGGCUGGAGAGCUGGAAGAGGUCCCGGAGGGGACGCGACUGGCUGACCCGGGAUCUGGACCCUUGCAUGCAGAGGCUCCUCACCUCCUCACCCUCUCCCGCAGGUCGGAAUGUACGUCCUGCCCGCCGGCCCUCCGCGGAGCCAUUUCCAGCACGCAGGGAGCGAGCGCGUGGUGCUCAGAUCCUCUGGACGCAUGCGCGCAGUUACCCAGUCCUGCCUCGUGUGAGCGCCCAGACCCUGCGGUGAGGAGGUGCGUGUCCUGCGGUGCCUGGAGGAGCGAGUCUCCUGGGUGAGUUCCGGGCUCCAGAACCCGCCACACGCUCCUUGGCUGCGGGCUCGUCCUCUCUCUAAGCCCUCUUCGCCCUCCUUCCAAGUGCGGGGAUGCAGUUUGCAACCAACACUGAAAGAACACGUGGCAGGCGGGGCUUCCUCAAGGCCAGGACAAAGAAAAGGCUUGGAGGACCUCAAUCUACUGUGCCAACAGGACAUGAAUGACCAUAUACUCCUCCUCCCUUCUUUCCAGAGGAGUUCAAAUGGGAGCUGCCAUUUUCGAACAGAUCUGCCCCCUGAACAGGUGGGGCCAAUUAUAGAACCUUACUCUGCUGUCUUUGAUUGA
rnacentral:lncRNA from 1 species